UACGUAGGUGGCAAGCGUUAUCCGGAAUUAUUGGGCGUAAAGAGCUCGCAGGUGGUUGAUUAAGUCUGAUGUGAAAGCCCACGGCUUAACCGUGGAGGGUCAUUGGAAACUGGUCGACUUGAGUGCAGAAGAGGGAAGUGGAAUUCCAUGUGUAGCGGUGAAAUGCGUAGAGAUAUGGAGGAACACCAGUGGCGAAGGCGGCUUCCUGGUCUGUAACUGACACUGAGGCGCGAAAGCGUGGGGAGCAAACAGGAUUAGAUA
rnacentral:rRNA from 1 species